rnacentral:rRNA from 1 species
GACGAACGCUGGCGGCGUGCUUAACACAUGCAAGUCGAACGAUGAUGCCAGCUUGCUGGUGGAUUAGUGGCGAACGGGUGAGUAACACGUGGGUGAUCUGCCCCAAACUUUGGGAUAAGCCUGGGAAACUGGGUCUAAUACCGGAUAGUACCUUCCCUUGCAUGGGGGUUGGUGGAAAGCUCCGGCGGUUUGGGAUGGGCCCGCGGCCUAUCAGCUUGUUGGUGGGGUAAUGGCCUACCAAGGCGACGACGGGUAGCCGGCCUGAGAGGGCGACCGGCCACACUGGGACUGAGACACGGCCCAGACUCCUACGGGAGGCAGCAGUGGGGAAUAUUGCACAAUGGGCGCAAGCCUGAUGCAGCGACGCCGCGUGAGGGAUGACGGCCUUCGGGUUGUAAACCUCUUUCACCAGGGACGAAGCGUGAGUGACGGUACCUGGAGAAGAAGCACCGGCCAACUACGUG